GACGGGAGAAGUGGGUGGCAAAGUUCCACAAGGAGCAAGCAAGCCUCUACCCUAUAGACUGAUCUACAGGGGCAGCCGGAGGAAGGAGCUUCUGAAUUCCUCCGGGGCGGCUUUCCCAGUUCACCCCGGAGGGAAACAGGCUGGGGCGGGUCUCGGAUUCCAGCCCGGCGGCUGGAGCCACUGUGCAACCCCACGGCUGCCCUCGGGCAGCUCCAACCGAUCCCUUAUCAGCCAGGAGCUCCCGAACCCGGCGCGGAUCAAAUGCUGCUUUCAGAGCCGAGCCGAGGCCCCCACCCAGGUGGAGGAGGGAACGAUGAUGUAGACACUCCUGCCUUCAAUCAACUAAAACCUGGACCCUUCAUGAAUAUGAAUGUACCCUUAGCUUAAACAUCUACUUCUGCUUCAUUGACUUCACUAAAGCCUUUGACUGUGUGCAUCACAACAAACUGUGGAAAAUUCUUCGAGAGAUGGGAAUAUCAGACCACCUUAUCUGCCUCCUGA